UGACACGUGUGCGAGUCAACGGGCGAGUAAACCCAUUAGGUGCAAGGAAGCUGAUUGGUGGGAUCCUCUUGUGGGUUGCACCGCCGACCGACCCCUAUCUUUUGUGAAGGGUUCGAGUGAGAGCAUACCUGUCG
rnacentral:ncRNA from 2 species